ACGUGUAUUUUUUAUUUUUAUUUUUUUACAGUUUAUUUGCAAAUGAAUGCUUUCACACACACAAUCUUUUUCAUUUUUUACAGUGUAUCAGGCCUUAGUGGUAACAAGCAGCCAUAAACGAAGCCUGUUUUUGAGUGAAGAGGGACUUUACAGGGUAUUUCUGGUUCUUUUCAACCUGAUGUGUUUCCAUUAAUGUGACUAUCGUGGCUGUGUGAGACCUGAUUUUGAGCUACAGAUUCAACCUUUGAAGAUCAUUUAAGUCCUCUGUGUCCUAAUAACAAAGAGAUGUUGUAAAGGUCAGGAAAGGUUGAAAACUGCACCGUUUGCUGAAAGUCAAAGAUUCCUAGUGGCUCUUAAGCCGCGAUUCCACAAGCAUCUACUCGGCGCGGUACGGUUCGCCACUAUUGUAUCUGACUCGGCUCUCGGUUUAGUUGUUUUUCCAUAUAGCCUCAUCGUGGGUGGAGUCGUCAUAGCGCAGCGAGCCGAAAGUCCCUUAACGUCAUUUGCGUGCGACACAAACGCAACAUAACGGAGACGAUGGUUCACCUGCUGCUCGGUCUGUGGCUUUCUGUCAGAUUCAGAGUAAUAGAAGAGUCGGAGAAAGCUGAGAGCGGCGAGUCGAAACACUCAGGAGACACACAGGAGAGUUUGGGAGGCGAUGCAGCAGUAUCAAGCUGAAGACAAGAGGAUAUGAACUAGACGACAUAUGAGGAUGCUCUCUGAUGAGACUUCAUGGGAUUUACCUGAAGCAGCAGCACAUGAGCCUGCAGUGGCACAAGGUGUAGAGGAGGAGGACAGAGAUGUACAGGAUGCACUGAUGCAGUACAUGUCAUGCAAAAGUUAUUCUUCUCGUUAUACUUCCGUUUUUCUGUCCCCGGACCGCUAUCGUUUUCUUUAAUGCAAUUCUGACAAUAAACUUUUGUACCUUUUGCA